AUGAGUCAUCUUGAUGGCAUCAACAUCCUCGGUGGCAAGUUCUACCUAGGAGAUGCUAGCUAUGCAUGUCCAGGUGUUCUUCCACCCUUCGGGAAAACCAGGUACCAUCUAAACGAGUUCGCCGGUAGGAACUAUCGUAGGACUCCACAAUAGUUGUUUAAUCUCAGACACUCCAAUAUUAGAGUUACCAUGGAGAGGGCAUUUGGAGCUCUGAAGAACAGGUUUAAAAUCCUAGUUCAAAAGUCAUUCUACACUUUCCCCACUCGGCUUAAGCUUGUGCUUGCUUGUUGCAUUCUGCAUAACUGGAUCAUGCAAUGGGGUUGUGAUGAACUAGUGCCUCAGGAGGAAGAUAUGACGCCUGACAAUGUUGUCAGCUCCAGCCAUGGGGUGAAGGCAUUCGACAAUGAAUCUGAUGGAGUGGGCACAUGCAAAUGGGAUAACAGAGGUCAGACAGAAGAGCAAGAGUAG
rnacentral:rRNA from 1 species